rnacentral:tRNA from 1 species
GGCUGGACAAAUGGCUCUGUGGUUAAGAGCACUGACUGUUCUUCCAGAGGUCCUGAGUUCAAUUCCCAGCAACCA